rnacentral:rRNA from 1 species
AUGAACCUCACUGGUAUCAAGAUCCAAGAGAUGGUGAGGAAUACGAGGGAGAGACUGGAGGCCGAUUUCUCCAAGCUUGGAACCAAGAUCCACAGGUUCCCACGAGGCUUACGAGGGGUCAACGAGCGCUACAUCGUCCCGAGCUUCGUGUCCCUCGGCCCGUACCAUCAUGGCUCACCGCACCUGCGGGAGACAGAGGAGUUGAAGCACGCGGCAGCCCACUACUUGUGCGAGAAGUCAGGCCGCUCAGUUGAGGAGGUCUACGGCAAGAUCCUCUCCAUCGGCACUGAAGCCCGCAGCUGCUACGCCGAUGGUGCAGUGGCGAAGUUCACGGACGCUGAAUUUGCGGUAAUGAUGUUCCUCGAUGGUUGCUAUCUGCUGCACUAUAUGGACAUGGAUUACCAGUAUGCUUUAUUGUACAAUCGGAUGACCCUGUCCACGGGACCUUGCAUGCUAAGAGAUAUGUUCCUGCUUGAGAAUCAGCUUCCUUGGUUGAUUCUAGAGGCUCUUACGGACUUUUUUAUGCCAUAUCCUGCAUACUACAUUGUUAUUGGUUUGGCGAAAAAUUUUGAUAUCACCCCACAAUAUUUAUCAGAUUCAGAUUCAAAUGGUGCAAGGGUUUCUGUUGACGAACUCAAGAUAUACAGGCCGCCACAUCUCCUUGGGCUCCUCCGGUACCAUCUGAUUGGUGAUAUGACUGGAAAAGAUCAUACUCACAGUCUCACUUGCUCCUCACUAGCCAGCAGUGCGACUGAGCUCGCGGAAAUCGGCAUCAAGCUGACCGCCAACAGCAAGACAUGGUUUGCAGACAUGAGCAUGCAAAGAGACCCUAUCUUGUGCGGCCAGCUCUCACUGGCACCAUUGUUUAUAAAUGAUGCCAAUGCAUGCUGGCUCGUCAACAUGGCAGCUUAUGAGGCCUGCGUGUCCAGCACAACUCCAGCAGAUGGCUUCGUCAUCAGCUCAUACAUCUCCAUACUGGCAAUGCUCGUGGACAAGAAAGAGGACGUGCACGAGCUGCGGACGAAGCACCUCGUUAACAGCUUCUUCAGCACCCAUGAGCUGCUCGUUUUCUUCAAGGACCUUGCUCGCCACAUGCGCCUCGGCUACCGCUACUUUGUCAUCACGGAGAAGAUUGAGAUGUUCAAGCGUGAAAGGCCUGUGAGGAUCGCCGUGCAUAGGUUCGUAUACAACAACUUCAAGACGAUCAUCACUGUGCUCUCUGUUGCUGGUGUGCUCGCAGGUAUCUUCAGAACCUUGAUGAGUCUCAAGCAGCAUCAGCCGUAG